UCGGGUCACCGUUCGGAUCGGGUCUUCGGGUUUGAACAAUACGACACCGUUUUGACGUUUUUUAAAACUAAAAGAAAGAAGAAAAAACUAAAAAUAAAAAUAAAAAAUAAACAAAACUUUAAAAACGAAAAGAAACAAACUAAAAACCCUAGCCCCCUUUCAAUCAAAAUCGUGCCGCAAUGAAAACUCCGUCCCAUUCGAUCUCCGAUCACAACGAAGUAGACCAGGACUCGACGACUCGUCAGUUCUGAAACACAGGUGCCCAUCCAGCCUGGAGAUGGAGCGCAUGGAUCUGGCGUCGAAGACUGCUGGCACUCGCGCGGACGAACCAGUUUCCUCGUGCGGCGGCUGGAGCUGAAAAUUGUUUGAAGGCUAGGGUUUCAUUUUGAAUCGGGCCCUAUGAACUGGGUUAGAGCAUUUUGGGCUCGGGUUUGGGCUAAUAUUUGGGUAUGGUGUUGGGUAAUUUAGCUGGGCUAAAAUAGUUUUAUUUUUGGGCUGAAUUUGUAAAGAAAUUAAACUGUUUUUAUUAUUUAGAAUUUAUUUUAUUUGGUUUUGUAUU